rnacentral:rRNA from 1 species
CUACGGGCGGCUGCAGUGGGGAAUAUUGCACAAUGGACGAAAGUCUGAUGCAGCAACGCCGCGUGGAGGAUGACACAUUUCGGUGCGUAAACUCCUUUUAUAUCCCAAGAUAAUGACGGUAGGAUAUGAAUAAGCGCCGGCUAACUCCGUGCCAGCAGCCGCGGUAAUACGGAGGGCGCAAGCGUUACUCGGAAUCACUGGGCGUAAAGAGCGUGUAGGCGGGUUGAUAAGUUGGGAGUGAAACCCUAUGGCUUAACCAUAGAAUUGCUUCCAAAACUGUCAACCUAGAAUAUGGGAGAGGUAGAUGGAAUUUCUGGUGUAGGGGUAAUAUCCGUAGAGAUCAGAAGGAAUACCGAUUGCGAAGGCGAUCUACUGGAACAUUAUUGACGCUGAGACGCGAAAGCGUGGGGAGCAAACAGGAUUAGAUACCCCAGUAGUC